rnacentral:rRNA from 1 species
UACGGGGGAGCAAGCGUUGUUCGGAUUUACUGGGCGUAAAGGGCGCGUAGGCGGCCACCGCAAGUCAGUUGUGAAAUCUCUGGGCUUAACCCAGAAAGGUCAACUGAUACUGCGGGGCUAGAGUGCAGAAGGGGCAACUGGAAUUCUCGGUGUAGCGGUGAAAUGCGUAGAUAUCGAGAGGAACACCUGCGGCGAAGGCGGGUUGCUGGGCUGACACUGACGCUGAUGCGCGAAAGCUAGGGGAGCGAACGGG